rnacentral:rRNA from 1 species
CCUACGGGAGGCAGCAGUGAGGAAUAUUGGUCAAUGGGCGCGAGCCUGAACCAGCCAAGUCGCGUGAGGGAAGACGGUCCUAUGGAUUGUAAACCUCUUUUGUCGGGGAGCAAAAGACGCCACGCGUGGCGUUCCGAGAGUACCCGAAGAAAAAGCAUCGGCUAACUCCGUGCCAGCAGCCGCGGUAAUACGGAGGAUGCGAGCGUUAUCCGGAUUUGUUGGGUUAAAGGGGUGGGCAGGCGGAAGAUCAAGUCAGCGGUAAAAUUGAGAGGCUCAACCUCUUCGAGCCGUUGAAACUGGUUUUCUUGAGUGAGUGAGAAGUAUGCGGAAUGCGUGGUGUAGCGGUGAAAUGCAUAGAUAUCACGCAGAACUCCGAUUGCGAAGGCAGCAUACCGGCGCUCAACUGACGCUCAUGCACGAAAGUGUGGGUAUCGAACAGGAUUAGAUACCCGGGUAGUC